UACGGAGGGUGCAAGCGUUGCUCGGAAUUAUUGGGCGUAAAGGGUAGGUAGGUGGUCUCAUUUGUCUAGGGUGAAAGCCUUGAGCUUAAACUCAAGAAGUGCCCUAGAAACGGUGAGACUGGAGUCCUGGAGAGGGUCGUGGAAUUCCCGGUGGUAGCGGUGAAAUGCGUAGAGAUCGGAGGAACACCAGAGGCGAAAGCGGCG
rnacentral:rRNA from 1 species